rnacentral:lncRNA from 1 species
GGUCAAACAUUAUUCUUGAUGUCUCUGCAAGACUGUUUUGGGGGUGAAAUUAACAGGCAAGUUGGUGAGCUUUGGUGAAGCAAACAACCUUACAUGAUAUGCACUGUGCACUGGAGAGGCAGAGCAUCCUGCCUUCCACAGCCGUGCACACCAGUCCCUGUGCACAAGUGGCCACCCACCCAGCGAAUCGACGUGGUGUGCUUAUCAAAAUCUGUGUGUCUGUGGGCCAGAGCCAAAUCCAGAGCCCCAUCCUGAAUGCCCAGCGGUGCCCACAGCCAGGAGGAGCAUUCGAUGUGUGAUGACUCAUCUCGUGCAUCAGACGCUCUCUAAAGUUCCCACAGAUUAUACCAUGGCUUAGUGAGUGCGAUUCUAAGACAGUUCCAAAAGACUUUUCAAUCCGUGGGAGUUUCAAAGUGGAUUCUCAGACAAACAUGGGGAGGACUGAGGCAGGCUUGGACACGCACAGAAUCAGACAACGAUGGUCCGGAGUUCAAAUCCCUGCAACCACAUGGUGGCUCACAACCAACUGUAAUGAGAUCUGGCGCCCUCUUCUGGAGUGUCUGAAGACAGAUACAGUGUACUUACAUAUAGUAAAUAAAUAAAUCUUAAAAAAAAAAAAAACUGA